rnacentral:rRNA from 1 species
GAGUGGCGAACUGGUGAGUAACACGUGGGAAACCUGCCCAGAAGCGGGUGGAUAACACCUGGAAACAGAUGCUAAUACCGCAUAACAACUUGGACCGCAUGGUCCGAGCUUGAAAGAUGGCUUCGGCUAUCACUUUUGGAUGGUCCCGCGGCGUAUUAGCUAGAUGGUGGGGUAACGGCUCACCAUGGCAAUGAUACGUAGCCGACCUGAGAGGGUAAUCGGCCACAUUGGGACUGAGACACGGCCCAAACUCCUACGGGAGGCAGCAGUAGGGAAUCUUCCACAAUGGACGAAAGUCUGAUGGAGCAACGCCGCGUGAGUGAAGAAGGGUUUCGGCUCGUAAAACUCUGUUGUUAAAGAAGAACAUAUCUGAGAGUAACUGUUCAGGUAUUGACGGUAUUUAACCAGAAAGCCACGGCUAACUACGUGCCAGCAGCCGCGGUAAUACGUAGGUGGCAAGCGUUGUCCGGAUUUAUUGGGCGUAAAGCGAGCGCAGGCGGUUUUUUAAGUCUGAUGUGAAAGCCUUCGGCUCAACCGAAGAAGUGCAUCGGAAACUGGGAAACUUGAGUGCAGAAGAGGACAGUGGAACUCCAUGUGUAGCGGUGAAAUGCGUAGAUAUAUGGAAGAACACCAGUGGCGAAGGCGGCUGUCUGGUCUGUAACUGACGCUGAGGCUCGAAAGUAUGGGGUAGCAAACAGGAUUAGAUACCCUGGUAGUUCCAUACCGUAAACGAGGAAUGCUAAGUGUGGGAAGGGUUUCCGCCUUUCAGUGCUGCAGCUAACGCAUUAAGCAUUCCGCCUGGGGAGUACGGCCGCAAGGCUGAAACUCAAAGGAAUUGACGGGGGCCCGCACAAGCGGUGGAGCAUGUGGUUUAAUUCGAAGCUACGCGAAGAACCUUACCAGGUCUUGACAUACUAUGCAAAUCUAAGAGAUUAAACGUUCCCUUCGGGGACAUGGAUACAGGUGGUGCAUGGUUGUCGUCAGCUCGUGUCGUGAGAUGUUGGGUUAAGUCCCGCAACGAGCGCAACCCUUAUUAUCAGUUGCCAGCAUUAAGUUGGGCACUCUGGUGAGACUGCCGGUGACAAACCGGAGGAAGGUGGGGAUGACGUCAAAUCAUCAUGCCCCUUAUGACCUGGGCUACACACGUGCUACAAUGGAUGGUACAACGAGUUGCGAACUCGCGAGAGUAAGCUAAUCUCUUAAAGCCAUUCUCAGUUCGGAUUGUAGGCUGCAACUCGCCUACAUGAAGUCGGAAUCACUAGUAAUCGCGGAUCAGCAUGCCGCGGUGAAUACGUUCCCGGGCCUUGUACACACCGCCCGUCACACCAUGAGAGUUUGUAACACCCAAAGUCGGUGGGUAACCUUUUACGAAACAGCCGCUUAA